GCCUAAUUGUGAGAUCUGGUCACUCCUUAAGUCUUUUGCAUACUAUCAGACCCUAAAGAUAAUGACAUUUCAAAAUAUACAUCAGGAUCUGGCUGGCUAGGCGGGUGUCCCCUUCCUCCCUCACUGCUGCAUGUGCGUCCCUCCUGAAGCUGCGCGGUCGAAAAGGACUAUCAUCCCCCGAUAGAGGAGGACCGGUCUUCGGUCCAGGGUAUAUGAGUAGCUGUUCUCCCCUGCUUGAACCUCCAAACAAGCUCUCAAGGUCCAUCAGGAAAAUUUCCUUGAACUUACCUUCUCUCCCCCAAACAAAUAUGCCUUUUAUUUCAUUUGUAACUUGC
rfam:Dipodomys ordii contig_50525, whole genome shotgun sequence.